AUACUCACCUGGCAGGGGAGACACCAUGAUCCUAAAGGUGGUUUUUCCAGAAUGGGGCUUAUCCAUUGCUCUCUGGGCUUGCAGCCCCCCGCAAUUUCCCCAAAUGCGGGAAACUCAACUGCAUAAUUUGUGGUAGUGGAGGACUGUGUUUGCACUUUCCCUUG
rnacentral:snRNA from 1 species